rfam:Neotoma lepida isolate 417 scaffold_1070, whole genome shotgun sequence.
GUCUACAGCCAUACUACCCUGAACACACACAGUCUCAUCUGAUCUUGGAAGCUAAGCAGGGUCUGUUCUGGUUAGUACUUGUAUGGGAGAAUCCUGGAUAUGACU